CCAGACACAUAGGACUCAUAGUCCAUGAGCAUUAGGAUACUUCAUCAGCCAUCAGAUCAGAUAAAAACCUCUAAUGUGUGUGACCCCGUAGGUUCGAACCUAAGCCGGUAGCACAGGAACCAAUUCCUGUACUAAUCGAAGUGACCAUCUAGCAAUGGUACCCGAUGUCUGGAUAGGUCGAAUAGUCACAAUCGCAACACUCAGAACCUACAUGAAUAUGG
rnacentral:lncRNA from 1 species